AACGCGAAGAACCUUACCCAGGUUAGAAGUGCAGAGGACGAUGCCAGAAAUGGUAUUUCUCGAAAGGGUCUCUGUAUAGGUGCUGCAUGGCUGUCGUCAGCUCGUGCCGUGAGGUGUUGGGUUAAGUCCCGCAACGAGCGCAACCCUUAUCAUUAGUUGCCAACACGUAAGGUGGGGACUCUAGUGAGACUGCCUAGGUUAACUAGGAGGAAGGUGAGGAUGACGUCAAGUCCGCAUGGCCUUUAUGUCUGGGGCUACACACGUGCUACAAUGGUCGGUACAGAGGGCAGCAAAAUCGCGAGAUGGAGCAAAUCCCAGAAAGCCGAUCUCAGUUCAGAUUGUAGUCUGCAACUCGACUACAUGAAGUCGGAAUUGCUAGUAAUGGCGGGUCAGCAACACCGCCGUGAAUACGUUCCCGGGCCUUGUACACACCGCUCGUC
rnacentral:rRNA from 1 species